AAUGGGCGAAAGCCUGAUGCAGCAACGCCGCGUGAGGGAUGACGGCCUUCGGGUUGUAAACCUCUUUUAGUAGGGAAGAAGCGAAAGUGACGGUACCUGCAGAAAAAGCACCGGCUAACUACGUGCCAGCAGCCGCGGUAAUACGUAGGGUGCAAGCGUUGUCCGGAAUUAUUGGGCGUAAAGAGCUCGUAGGCGGUUUGUCGCGUCUGCUGUGAAAUCCCGAGGCUCAACCUCGGGCUUGCAGUGGGUACGGGCAGACUAGAGUGCGGUAGGGGAGAUUGGAAUUCCUGGUGUAGCGGUGGAAUGCGCAGAUAUCAGGAGGAACACCGAUGGCGAAGGCAGAUCUCUGGGCCGUAAACUGACGCUGAGGAGCGAAAGCGUGGGGAGCGAACAGGAUUAGAUACCCUGGUAGUCCACGCCGUAAACGUUGGGCGCUAGAUGUAGGGACCUUUCCACGGUUUCUGUGUCGUAGCUAACGCAUUAAGCGCCCCGCCUGGGGAGUACGGCCGCAAGGCUAAAACUCAAAGGAAUUGACGGGGGCCCGCACAAGCGGCGGAGCAUGCGGAUUAAUUCGAUGCAACGCGAAGAACCUUACCAAGGCUUGACAUACACCGGAAACGGCCAGAGAUGGUCGCCCCCUUGUGGUCGGUGUACAGGUGGUGCAUGGUUGUCGUCAGCUCGUGUCGUGAGAUGUUGGGUUAAGUCCCGCAACGAGCGCAACCCUCGUUCUAUGUUGCCAGCGCGUUAUGGCGGGGACUCAUAGGAGACUGCCGGGGUCAACUCGGAGGAAGGUGGGGAUGACGUCAAAUCAUCAUGCCCCUUAUGUCUUGGGCUUCACGCAUGCUACAAUGGCCGGUACAAAGGGCUGCGAUACCGUAAGGUGGAGCGAAUCCCAAAAAGCCGGUCUCAGUUCGGAUUGAGGUCUGCAACUCGACCUCAUGAAGUCGGAGUCGCUAGUAAUCGCAGAUCAGCAACGCUGCGGUGAAUACGUUCCCGGGCCUUGUACACACCGCCCG
rnacentral:rRNA from 1 species